rnacentral:lncRNA from 1 species
UUAUUUUCUAGAAAACUGCUGCCAAAAUACGAUAAUAUAUGCAUUAAUAACCAUAACUAUAUGUAAGUAUGUGGACGAUGCGAAGCUGUAUAGGAGCAUGCCAAAGCAUGUAGACUCCGGCUGGAUACCAGGUACCAAGGAAACUUGCUGGAAGAAAAUCUAGCCAUUUUCCUGAAGGUGGAUGGAAGCUCCAGGGCAACCUGAGCAGAAAGUCUGUAGAAGAGGCGAAGUUGUUAGCCUCCACCUUCCUGUGGAGAAGAAGGAAGAGCUGAGCAGAUCAUUGAAAGGAGCCUGUUGCCUUUUUCAGUCUCAUGGCAGAAAUAAUUACUGCAUUGCACGGCUCAAUAAGAAGGAUGGAGAGGUCAGAUCCACAACAGUGCCAAUCCCACAUUCAGGUAUCUUCCUGAAUCAUGGAAAACAUCGUAUACUCACCUGAAAAGACUGAUACUUUCCAAGGCAGAUCUCCCACAAAGAAUUGUUGACUUGCUCACAUACACAUAUAUGUUCAUAUAUAUACCUUUUGAAAUAAAUGUCUAAGUACUUCCA